rnacentral:rRNA from 1 species
UACGUAGGGCGCAAGCGUUGUCCGGAAUUAUUGGGCGUAAAGAGCUCGUAGGCGGCUUGUCACGUCGGAUGUGAAAGCCCGGGGCUUAACUCCGGGUCUGCAUUCGAUACGGGCUGGCUAGAGUGUGGUAGGGGAGAUCGGAAUUCCUGGUGUAGCGGUGAAAUGCGCAGAUAUCAGGAGGAACACCGGUGGCGAAGGCGGAUCUCUGGGCAGUAACUGACGCUGAGGAGCGAAAGCGUGGGGAGCGAACAGG